CAGUAGCCGCGGUAAUACGGAGGGUGCAAGCGUUAUCCGGAUUUAUUGGGUUUAAAGGGUCCGUAGGCGGACUUAUAAGUCAGUGGUGAAAGCCUGUCGCUUAACGAUAGAACUGCCAUUGAUACUGUAAGUCUUGAGUAUAUUUGAGGUAGCUGGAAUAAGUAGUGUAGCGGUGAAAUGCAUAGAUAUUACUUAGAACACCAAUUGCGAAGGCAGGUUACCAAGAUAUAACUGACGCUGAGGGACGAAAGCGUGGGUAGCGAACAGGAUUAGAUACCCCCGUAGUCCCUGUAUCUUAUAC
rnacentral:rRNA from 1 species